ACUUCUUCUAGUUGACAUCUCUCAUUCGUAUGUACCCUCCUUUCCAUCUAUUUUAUACAAAACCAUCUACCUUCUCAACCUUCUCCCAUGAUCCCUUACACCAAAACCAAAGCCCUUACCCAUUGUUAAAUCAAACGACAACCUCCAUCUCUAAAAAAAUAUCUAGAACUAAUGAAUGUUUUUUUAUUCAAACUAAUCAACCAGUUUAUAUAUAAAAUUGAUAUUAACUUAUCUACUUUUCUUAAAUUGAUACUUUUAAUUUUUUUUCUUAAAUUGUUAUCUAAAAUUUUUUUCUUUCACUGUAUUAAUACCUAAACCAACGGUGUUAAUUUUUUUACUAAAGUAAUAGCAUCGGCUAAUCACAUUUCGCCACGUGGCAUCUCUCAUGCCUCAUUUUUCUUUUGCCUUUUUCCUUCCCUUCCCUUCCCUUCCCUUUCUUUCAUUUCUUUUAUUAUUUUUCUAGGUCUGGUUCUACAUUUCUUCAUCUUUCUUCCUCAGUCAAAACCCCCCAAAUUUUCCCAAUACAUAAAGAAGCUGGCUCUCUUUAGACUCUCCUUCAUCUUCCUCUUUCGACAUUUGAAACUAGUCGUUUCCUUUUCUCCUGAUGGCCUUUCUCUUCUCUCAUUAAAAUCUGUCCUGGACUAACCUUCAGGCUGGUCAGUCUUCACCGACUGGAAUGAAAACAACGAGACGCAGUGUAAUUGCUUCAGCGUUUCUUGCAAGACUAUUUCAGGAUUUCCUGACCCGCGUGUCCUCGGAGUCGCGCCGUUCCUUGAACAUUUUUGCUUCCCGGAACCACAAUCGCUCGUCAACAUGAGAAUUUACCGGCGGAAUCUUGGGAACAAUAGGUCCUUCCCCGAAAACGACCUCCCCAUGAUGUCGGGGGGUAAAUGGUUUUGGAUUCACCUCUUCGGAAAGUGAAACCUGUGUUGGAAAUUGUGGAAACGCCUACGUUUUAGAGAAUUCCAGGCCGUACCAUGUAAUUGCAUUUGUUUACUAUGAAUGAAACUACUUGAUAUAAAGGGAUGUGAUAGAAGAAGAGCACAAAUAGCGGCAACAAAUGUAAUUGGCGCCAUGAAGAAGAGGAAGUUGAGGGGAUGGCAAAUAUCAACACUCAUCUUGUUGUUCAGAAAUGGUGAGAUUCUUCAAUGGUGAUAUAUAUAGAUAUUUGUGGUUAUUGAGCUUUCGAAAACAAACGUAAGUGAUUGUGGACCAAACUAGAAAAGUUGCUAUUAUGCCUGCUCUUACGAAUUUUGAGAUGAGUUGCUGUGUUUGGUUGAGAUUUUAAUUUUAUUUCCUCUCACUUAAUAUUUACAUGUAAAAUUUUGUGAAUAAAUACAAGAAUAGUGGUUUAGAAAUAGAAGGCUCUACAACAAAUUAAGAACGUGUUCGUUUCAACAUUACAAGAGGUAGACGCCUAAAGGAAAAAAAUGACUAACAUCAAUAAUGCAUAAGAAAGUGUUCUUUUCA